GGAGGUAUAGCUCAGUGGUAGAGCACUUGCUUAGCAUGCACAGGGCUCUGGGUUCAAUUGCCAGCACCCCCC
rnacentral:tRNA from 1 species